rnacentral:rRNA from 1 species
UACGGGGGGGGCAAGCGUUGUUCGGAAUUACUGGGCGUAAAGGGCUCGCAGGCGGCCAACUAAGUCAGACGUGAAAUCCCUCGGCUUAACCGGGGAACUGCGUCUGAUACUGGAUGGCUUGAGUGUGGGAGAGGAAUGCGGAAUUCCAGGUGUAGCGGUGAAAUGCGUAGAUAUCUGGAGGAACACCGGUGGCGAAGGCGGUUCUCUGGGCCUGUUCUGACGCUGAGGAGCGAAAGCGUGGGGAGCGAACAGG